CUCAAAAGCGGAAGACGAUGGGGAAAAUCGGGGAAUGGGUGAGGAUACUUUCUCUCUCGUGUUUUUAAAAGGAUAGCGCGAUUGCUUUUCGUAAGGCUAUUAUUGUUGUUGUCGGGAGCAUUCUAUAAACGUCAGGACUUAGUAAAAAUAAGUUGGGUAGAUUAAAACUGCUUACAAUUUGGAAGAUCUUGCCGCGAAGGGAUGAUCAAAAAACAGAAAAACAGAGAUCUUGCUA